GGAAUCGCUAGUAAUCGCGGAUCAGCAUGCCGCGGUGAAUACGUUCCCGGGCCUUGUACACACCGCCCGUCACACCAUGAGAGUCGGGAACACCCGAAGUCCGUAGUCUAACUUUCACGAGAGGACGCGGCCGAAGGUGGGUUCGAUAAUUGGGGUGAAGUCGUAACAAGGUAGC
rnacentral:rRNA from 1 species